AUGACUUCUACAACACUCAGGGUACAUCUUAAUGAAAAUUCAGAAUGGUAUGUCAAAGUUUUUAGGGAGGAACACAAUCAUUCCCUUGUAGAAUCUUGUAGCGAGAAGAAGCACCUGCAUUCACAUCAACAUAUUGACAAGCCAAUAAGAGAUUUAAUAAACAAUCUUCGGGAGAAUAAUGUUUCACUAACGAGGGUUAAUUCUAUAGUAGCAGGUUUCUAUGGCUCAACAAAGAAAGUACCAUUCUGUAAGAGGAAGUUGCGAACUGUAUGUUCUCAGAUUGCUAGUGAAACACUUCAGGACGACAUUGCUAAGACACCGGAGAACUUCCGUGAUAUGAUAGCACUGGAUGAUAGAUUUGCUUUUUGUGCACAGGUUGAUGAUGACAACAGGCUUAAGUCACUAAUGUGGACUACUGGAAGGAGUAGAUCAUUAUAUAAUCACUUUGGAGAUGCAAUAACUUUUGACACUACUUAUGGAACAAACAUCUACAAAAUGUCAUUUGGUAUGUUUGUAGGAGUUAGUAACCACUUUGAAAGUGUAGUUUUCGCUGGAGUGUUUUUGACUAAUGAGAAGGAAGAGAAUUUAUGUUGGGCUUUUAAGCAAUUUGUUGCUAUGAUGGGAGGAAAACACCGAGUUACUAUUCUUACAGAUUAG
rnacentral:rRNA from 1 species